CUGGCGGUGCGCCUUAUGCAUGCAAGUCGAGCGAAGCUUUUCAGUAGUUUACUACAGAAAAUGACUGAGCGGCGAACGGGUGAGUAACGCGUGAGCAAUCUACCUUAGUUACUGGGAUAGCCCGAGGAAACUCGGAUUAAUACCGGAUAAUCUUAUUACAUCACAUGAAGUUUUAAGCAAAGGUCAGCCGAACUAAGAUGAGCUCGCGUUCUAUCAGCUUGUUGGUGGGGUAAAAGCCUACCAAGGCUACGACGGAUAGCUGGUCUGAGAGGACGAUCAGCCACACUGGGACUGAGACACGGCCCAGACUCCUACGGGAGGCUGCAGCAGGGAAUAUUGCGCAAUGAGCGAAAGCUUGACGCAGCGACACCGCGUGUGGGAUGAAGGUUCUAGGAUUGUAAACCACUUUCAGGAGGGAAGAAAAUGACGGUACCUCCACAAGAAGCCCCGGCCAACUACGUGCCAGCAGCCGCGGUAAUACGUAGGGGGCGAGCGUUGUCCGGAUUUAUUGGGCGUAAAGAGCUCGUAGGCGGUUCAACAAGUCGGUCGUGAAAGUUCAGGGCUCAACCCUGAAAUGUCGAUCGAUACUGUUGUGACUAGGAUAUGGUAGAGGUGAGUGGAAUUCCGAGUGUAGCGGUGAAAUGCGUAGAUAUUCGGAGGAACACCAAUUGCGAAGGCAGCUCACUGGGCCACUAUCGACGCUGAGGAGCGAAAGCUAGGGGAGCAAACAGGAUUAGAUACCCUGGUAGUCCUAGCUGUAAACGAUGGAUACUAGAUGUAGGAAUUGGAUUGACGAUUUCUGUAUCGUAGCUAACGCGUUAAGUAUCCCGCCUGGGGAGUAC
rnacentral:rRNA from 1 species